CAGCAGCCGCGGGAAUACGUAGGGUGCAAGCGUUAAUCGGAAUUACUGGGCGUAAAGCGUGCGCAGGCGGUUAUAUAAGUCAGAUGUGAAAUCCCCGGGCUCAACCUGGGAACUGCAUUUGAGACUGUAUGGCUAGAGUGUGUCAGAGGGGGGUAGAAUUCCACGUGUAGCAGUGAAAUGCGUAGAUAUGUGGAGGAAUACCGAUGGCGAAGGCAGCCCCCUGGGAUAACACUGACGCUCAUGCACGAAAGCGUGGGGGGCAAACAGGAUUAGAUACCCGCGUAGUCCCUGUCUCUUAUAA
rnacentral:rRNA from 1 species